rnacentral:tRNA from 1 species
GGUCUGGUGGUCUAGUGGUAUGAUUCUCGCUUAGGGUACACCCUACGCUCAGAUAUGCGAGAGGUCCCGGGUUCAAUCCCCGGCCAGACCC